CAAGCAAGUGGCUGAACCUUGCUGACCGUGGCGUCCUCAUCAGUAAGAUGAUGGGAGAUGAGGAAUUUCCCGGCUACAGGGUCCGGAUCAGUGUGUACGGAACAGGAUAGGUGGGUUGAGAAAAAUUUGCUUUCAUAUGUCUCUGGAAAUCUGGAAAGGGAUUGUCAGUCUGCAUUGUAUCUCCCUGUAAAUUCUUACACGUGCCUAUAUCUCAGAAUGUCACCAUAUCUGCAGACAGGGUUCUUGAAGACACAACUAAAUGAAAAUGGAUGAAAUCAGAAUGGAGCCUAAUCCGAGGUGACUGCUGUCUUUGUGAGAACAGGGAAGGAACACACAGGAAGGCUCCAGGGGUGCGUGUGAGGACAGAGCAAGGAGGUGGCCUGUCUGCCAGCCAAGGAAAAGAAACCAGCCCUGCUGACAACCGGCCCUCAGACUGCCAGCCCAGUGGGAAAACUCAUUCUGUUAUCUAAGCCACUCUGUCUGCAACGAUUGGUUAUGGCGGCCCUAAAAAAUGAGUACAUUUUCCGUCUUUGUACUGUAAAGUUGUUGUUGUUUAAUAGAUUGUCUCUUUUCUUGGGUUUAAGGAAUAUCUUCAAAAAGAGCUUGUUUUAUUGAUGAACUUGGUGUAUUAGGAACCAUCUCGGGAGGCUCUUGGCAAACACAGAAGGGGAUGAACGAGAGCACAUGCCUACCCGCUGUACAGAUCUCGCAACUGCAGAGAUAAUUGGAGAAGAUAGAUCUAUCUGCAAAGACACAAAAGGUCGAGAGUUUAUGCGAGUCAUCCUCUCAGGGAAAAUGAGCGAUUGCGGUAGCAGCAAUCCAUCUUACCAUUGAUUUAUAAGCGUCAUUGGAGAACUUGAUAUUUGUCUCACUGGAAAAACUUUUUUUUUUAAUUUAAUAAGAAACAUGUUUCUGCCUUUUGUAAUUCUAGUUGUCCUAACACAAUGUGUCCAAGCCUCACAUUUCUCCUUUAUUUGUUGAUAAGCCCACAGAUCUUGAUUGAAUCUAUAGUUCUUCCCGGGGCUAGAAGAUUUUAGAAUUUUUGAUGGUAACUUUUUUCCCCCUUGUAUCAGGGUCUCACUAUGUAACCGGGCUGACCUGGAACUUGAUAUGUAGACCAGGUUGGCCUCAACGUCACAGGUCAGCCUGCCUCUGCCUCCUGGGUGCUGAAUUAAUGGCCUGCACCACUGCAUAAUUUUUAUUGCAGAACUGGUAUCAGAACCAAAGCCAGAGCUUUCCCAUGAUACCCAGGGACAAAAUGGCACACACUUUUAAUGCUAGCACAUGGGAAGCAGAGGCAGGUGGAUCUCUGUGAGUUUGAGGCUAGCCUGGUCUACAGAGUGAGAUCCUGUCUGAGAGAGACAGAGGCAGGCACAGACAGACAUACAGGCAGACAGACAGGGAGCUAGAAAUGCAAAUAUGAUCAGUAUGAGCUGAGGUUUGAUUUUUAAUAAGAUCACAGCUCCUUUUUAAAGGAAGCCAGUGCUUCUUACAGCUAGGAGGCCUUUCUGUGUCCGUGCUCUUAUUUAAUUUUUUUAAGAUUGAUUUAUUUUGUUUUAUGUGUAUGAGUGUUUUGCUUACAUGUUUGUAUGUGUAUCAUGUGAGUGCCUGGUGCCCACAGAGGUCAGAGUAGGACAAUGGGUCCCCUGUAACUGGAGUUUUGAGUGUUUAUAGGCCACUAUGUCAGUUUUGAAAAUGGAACCCAGGUUCUCUGCAAGAACAAGUACUCUUAACCAUUGAGGGCUCCUCUAACAACAGCCACCUCCCCCACCGUGUGUGUGUGUGUGUGUGUGUGUGUGUGUGUGUGUAGGUCAGAGGUCAACAUCAUCUCCCUCAGUUGCUCUCCACUUUAUUUUUGAGGUAAGGUCUCAUAUUGAACCUGGAGCUGGCUGUUUAGGCUAAACUGUGCCUAUAAGCCCCAGGGAAUCUCUUGUCUCUGCCCCCACUCCAACACCACCUGCCCAACACUGGGGCUACAGGCACCUGUCGCCUUGCCAUGCCUGGCUUUUUUAGUGAGUGUUGAGGAUGCCAGAGUAGAUCCUUGUACAGCCAAUGCAGCACACACCUUUGUUUUGACCUCCAAGUUUACUCUCCAUAUGUUGGAGGAAUGUUCAUCUUUGUGGUACGGUUUCUUUCAUGUAUUACUUAUUUAUUUUUUUAAAAAAAUUAUUUAUGUAUUUUAUAUAUGUGAGUACACUGUCGCUGUCUUCAGACACACUAGAAGAGGGUAUUGGUUCCCAUUACAGAUGUCUGUGAGCCACCGUGUAGGUGCUGGGAUUUGAACUCAGGACCUCUGGAAGAGCAGCCAGUGUGCUCUUAACCAUUGAGCCAUCUCUCCAGCCCUCAUGUACUUUUUUAAAAAGGCAGAUCUCUGGAAUGGACAAGGAAGGUAUCUUCGAUCGAAGCUGUGGGAGGAGCUUUGGACUUGGCUAAGAGCCAGAGCCCUGUAGAGGGAGCGCCAGAGAGCCACUGCGAAGACCCCAGGGGACCAGGAUGCAGCUAAGUCACCUGGAUGCGGAGAAGCUUCUGGGUCCCCACUCUACCUCGCAUCUCUUCUAGAAGAUGUAGAAGUCUCGGCUACUUCCCAGUACUGUGUCUGCCUGCACGCUGCCAUGUUUCCUGCUAUGAUGACAGUGGACUAAACCAACUCCAAUUAAAGGCUUUCCU